rnacentral:rRNA from 1 species
AGCGGAUGACAGGAGCUUGCUCCUGAAUUCAGCGGCGGACGGGUGAGUAAUGCCUAGGAAUCUGCCUGGUAGUGGGGACAACGUUUCGAAGGAACGCUAAUACCGCAUACGUCCUACGGGAGAAAGCAGGGGACCUUCGGGCCUUGCGCUAUCAGAUGAGCCUAGGUCGGAUUAGCUAGUUGGUGAGGUAAUGGCUCACCAAGGCGACGAUCCGUAACUGGUCUGAGAGGAUGAUCAGUCACACUGGAACUGAGACACGGUCCAGACUCCUACGGGAGGCAGCAGUGGGGAAUAUUGGACAAUGGGCGAAAGCCUGAUCCAGCCAUGCCGCGUGUGUGAAGAAGGUCUUCGGAUUGUAAAGCACUUUAAGUUGGGAGGAAGGGCAGUAAAUUAAUACUUUGCUGUUUUGACGUUACCGACAGAAUAAGCACCGGCUAACUCUGUGCCAGCAGCCGCGGUAAUACAGAGGGUGCAAGCGUUAAUCGGAAUUACUGGGCGUAAAGCGCGCGUAGGUGGUUCGUUAAGUUGGAUGUGAAAUCCCCGGGCUCAACCUGGGAACUGCAUUCAAAACUGACGAGCUAGAGUAUGGUAGAGGGUGGUGGAAUUUCCUGUGUAGCGGUGAAA